UCUCUCUCUCUUGAGGUCUGUAGUUUGCUUGAAUUUUUUGUGAGGAAAAAUCGUAGCUUUUAUGUCGCGAGGGCUUGUGAUGCUUGUUUCAUGGAAUUGCUGUUCGAUGUUAUUCGUUUUCUCGCUCGUGUGCUGUUGGGUUUGUGGUGGUCUGAAUUCGCUCGCUGUUUUCUGGGUGGGUUUUUGGUCGUGACGUAUUAGGGUAAUUGGGGCGUAAUCGUUGAGGCGGCUCAUGGUUUUUGGGGGUUUUUUUUAGUUGAGUAGUUGCUGACUUUGUUGGGAAAAAUGUAGUUGUAGGAUAGUUCGUGUUUGUGCUAUUCUGGGUUCUGGUUCGGAUUUGUUCUGCUGUUAUGCGCUCAUUUAGGUGGCACCGGCACUGCUCUUGUGUGUGUGUGUGUGUGUGUGUGUGUGUCUUUUGCAAUCUGGGAUACUAGCAGACUUAUUUUUGCUCAGCAUCGCCAGUCACUUCCUUUGGGUGUGUGAAUUAUGUCCAGUGGUGACAAUAUGUCCCUUAGUUUGAUGGUUACUACGGACGGUGACUUAGCCAUCUUAAUUGUUACAAGUUUUCUCUCGACUUGCUGGUGGGUUUGGGGGGACUGAGAAUAUCAAACUGCACUUUUGGAGGCGAGCUGUAGAGCCGAGAGGUUAUUCAAAUUAGAGUAACAUUAAAUUUGUAAAGAUGAUCUACUAAAUUGAUUUACUAAGUUAUGUUAUAGACUAUAGCUGAGCUUGCGAACAAGGAGGCCAUAUUCAACAUUAAGUAGAACUCUGCUGCAUCUGUCAGUGAACCAAUUUAGUGGACUACUAAUCUUUAGAUACCUGGCAUUAUUCUCUAAAUUAUCUCAAGAGCUUCUCUAUUGGGAGAGGUGUGUGGAUGGUUUUGGUUGAAGGUUGUGGCUUUGGGGAUUCAAUCGGAGAGUUGUAACUCAAGAUAUUUUAGAUAUUUUCACCAUUGGUUGAUGACCAUAGCCUAUUGCAUUCGUGUAUGAUUGGUUUCUUAUGUCUUUGUUUUGCUAGACUAUAAUUGAUUAUGGGUUUCCAGUUGGAUCCAAUUGUUAACAAGGCUGCUUUAUACUUGUGAUGUGUUCUUAUAAAAUCAGACUUUUGAGGCUUUAAAUCAGCGUGCGGUUGCAGUAGUUGUGGAUCCCAUUUAGAGUGUCAAAGGGAAGGUGGUGAUUGAUGCCUUCCGUUUGAUCAACCCACAAACCAUGAUGCUUGGCCAAGAACCCAGGCAGACAACCUCCAACCUUGGACAUCUCAACAAACCGUCCAUCCAAUUUCACUCAAAGAGUGUUGCGACUUGUCAUGGGAGACAGAUUUUCGAGAAUUUCAGGGGAAUAACAGAAGAUUAUUGGUUGAGAUCAAGCUCCUCUUUCUUCAGAAGGAGAUAUGCUCAUUUUACUGGUGCCCCACGGUAAUCAUAUAUCAGGACAAGUUCGUUUAACAAAUACUCCGUCUGUGGAGAUUAAUGGCGAUCACUUGCUUCAAGAGGUUACUAGAAGCAGAAGACCAGUGUAUGAUUUGGACGAGAGGAACUGUCUUGGUAUGUCAAAUCUGGGGACUUCACCUGCAACCAUUGACAUGAAGCUACUUAAGUUGACAUGGAGAAGGUUAGAAGGUUUGGCUGCUAGACUUGGUGGAUCCAAGAACAUAUUCUGUGAACUUUUUUCUGAUAACAAGGCUGAGAACACCUUUUGGUUGGAUAGUUCCUCAAUUGAGAAGGUUUGUCUUGAAGAGGAAGAAUGCACCUUUCAGUUUGGUUCUUUAUUUAUGUCAUUCUUGUGGAAAUUGUAGAUGAAUGUAUUUCAUUUUCAUAUUAUUAUAAUAUUUUGAUAUUAUUAAGUGCUUAA